CCCGCCCCCUGGUCACGUGCCCAGGGUACAGGUGUUGCUGCUGCAGCACGUGGAGGGCGAGUGACUGGACUUCUUCCUUCCACGGUACACAGCGGUAAAGGGACAGAGCUGAAAAUGGAACCCUCCGCUGCCCAGAGCCUCCGUCUCCUUGACCUGUGACCUCUGGAGGUCCCUUCAGGGCACACCUGGGGCGUGGUGGCCAGGACUUGUUCGCAGCCUCUAGUACUGGAGCCCUAGGCUGAACUCAUUAGAGGAAAGGCUUGUUACAUUAGGCUUUGGAGUACCCUGCAUCAUCCUACCACCUGGAGCUUGGCAAGCAGGAGUCUCUGAGCCAAGUUCACUGCACUUCCCACCAAGCAGCCUGCCCUGGUGUGCCCACUGCACUGUCCCUGCAAGGAGCCCUGGGGGCUGGCCUCCGAAGUGAAACAGCGUACAUCCGGGUAUCGAUGAGUUGUAAUACCACCGUGGGAGUUUGGCUCGGCAAGGGCCCUUUUCCAUUGGAAGUUUGCAAUCUUUUCG